rnacentral:rRNA from 1 species
GAGUUUGAUCAUGGCUCAGGAUGAACGCUAGCGGCAGGCUUAACACAUGCAAGUCGAGGGGUAGGUCAUUUCGGUGACUGAGACCGGCGCACGGGUGCGUAACGCGUAUACAAUCUGCCUUUUACUGGAGGAUAGCCCGAAGAAAUUUGGAUUAAUACUCCAUAGUAUUAUAGGAUGGCAUCAUUUUAUGAUUAAAGAAUUUCGGUAAAAGAUGAGUAUGCGUCCCAUUAGCUAGAUGGUAAGGUAACGGCUUACCAUGGCAACGAUGGGUAGGGGUCCUGAGAGGGAGAUCCCCCACACUGGUACUGAGACACGGACCAGACUCCUACGGGAGGCAGCAGUGAGGAAUAUUGGUCAAUGGGCGCAAGCCUGAACCAGCCAUGCCGCGUGCAGGAAGACGGUCCUAUGGAUUGUAAACUGCUUUUGUACAGGAAGAAACACUCCUACGUGUAGGAACUUGACGGUACUGUAAGAAUAAGGAUCGGCUAACUCCGUGCCAGCAGCCGCCGUAAC